rnacentral:rRNA from 1 species
UGGGGAAUAUUGGACAAUGGGCGGAGGCCUGAUCCAGCAACGCCGCGUGAGGGAUGACGGCCUUCGGGUUGUAAACCUCUUUCAGUACCGACGAAGCGAAAGUGACGGUAGGUACAGAAGAAGGACCGGCCAACUACGUGCCAGCAGCCGCGGUAAUACGUAGGGUCCGAGCGUUGUCCGGAAUUAUUGGGCGUAAAGGGCUCGUAGGCGGUUUGUCGCGUCGGGAGUGAAAACAGCGGGCUUAACUCGUUGCUUGCUUUCGAUACGGGCAGACUAGAGGUAUGCAGGGGAGAAUGGAAUUCCUGGUGUAGCGGUGAAAUGCGCAGAUAUCAGGAGGAACACCGGUGGCGAAGGCGGUUCUCUGGGCAUUACCUGACGCUGAGGAGCGAAAGUGUGGGGAGCGAACAGGAUUAGAUACCCUGGUAGUCCACACCGUAAACGUUGGGCGCUAGGUGUGGGGUCCUUUCCACGGAUUCCGUGCCGUAGCUAACGCAUUAAGCGCCCCGCCUGGGGAGUACGGCCGCAAGGCUAAAACUCAAAUGAAUUGACGGGGUCAUAGCUGUUUUCCU